ACUUGGUUAUGGUUAACCAUUUCACAUUUAAAAGACCUGUCGAACACCAGUGGCAUUGCCUUCUCACCCAAUUCCAGAGUGUUACGGCCACAGAGUCGGUUUUUGGGUUCAGUUUCAGUACAGCUUAACAGAUCAACAAUAAACAAAACAAGUGUAAAGUGCAGGACUAGAAAACACACGUGAGACACUAGAGCCAGUACCAGCGGUCUUAAUGAACAACACAGGUGACACUGCAGGAUUUUUACCUGGAGCAUAAAAAAUGUGUUGUUGAGUGCACGUUUCACAGAGGAGUGUGUGUAAAUGUAGAAAUAGUGCAGACAGAUGGAGAGUGACUGAAGUACUGAUGUGUAACAGUUAAGACUAGACAUGAGGAACAUUUAGGAUAAAGUGGAUGGAUUUGCAGCUUUAAUCGGGGGAGAGAAAAAAAAGUCUACAUAUCUACGCGUACACCUAUUUAAACUUUAGACGUACAAACGAAUGGGACAUUUGUAUAAGAGUUUUAAAAUCUAUUUUUCGUAAAAACAAAAAACAACAAAACACUAAAAUUGUGCUAGGUUUGACUAAGAAUUUCUUCCAGAGUGUUGACUGAAUAAAAAAAAAAAAAAAGUUUUCAAGGGGUUAAGACCAUCCAUCCAUCUUCUAUACCGCUUAAUCCUUUUCAGGGUCACGGGGAAACCUGGAGCCUAUCCCGGGGAGCAUCGGGCACAAGGCGGGGUACACCCUGGACAGGGUGCCAAUCCAUCACAGGGCACAAUCACAUACACACUCACACAUCCACUGGGGUUAAGACCAGUACAGUCUAAUAAAACAUGUUUCAAGGAUAAUGGAUUCUGGCAAAAGGUACACAUGUUAGUGAGUCUUCUAAUAUUAAAAACUUGUGUGUCAUCCUGAUGUGACAAUGAAUGGGAAAUACGUGCCAUAAUACAAACGUUAACAUUAAUAUUAACAUACUCGUUAUAAAUAAUAAUAAUAAUUUUUUUUUUUUUAAAACAGUGUUCAAUGGUUAUAUGAAGAAUUAGGAGUUAAACUCAAAACAACUUCCCACUGAAGCGAAUAUUUAACACUAAAUAAUCCAGCCCAGUGUGAGGGAAGGUAGAGACCCCUCCUGUGGGCUAAAUCAAUGGCAUGCUAAUGUCUAGGAGAAGGGAAGCUGAGGAGAAAAAGCUCCAAACGCCAUCUUGUUCGCAGCCGCGUCUUGGUCUCUAGACCCGGCAAGCCAUUGAUUCCUCUCGUUUAUUCACCACUGGGGGGUUUCACCAGCUCUAAAAUCCGGUGUAUACUCAUACGUUUAAAAAAGACGACCAUUUUUAUUCAUUUUAUUUUAGGACUCGACAGAGACCCGAGCUGCUCCUGUUUAAUACACAGACCACCACAGACAGUCCAGUUUAACGGCUGUUUCCUCCGAAAAUACAGUUAAUGUCGGUAUGGAAGAAAAAAAAAAAGGCCAUGUCUGUUCCAACAUGGUGGUCAUGAUAAGUGGUCGUUUAAGAUGGAUCAGCGAAAGCCAUCACUGAGGGAUGAGACAUUACACUGGUGAGAUAUUGAUGAUGAGGCGUUGGUUAAUAUUGAUAAUGACUGUAUGUGUGUGACCAUUUGGAAAGACAACAUUAAGCAUGAACUUUGACACCAACCGUUGCAAGACUUACUAGCAGCUCCUGUGAUGAAAUAUUGGAGUUCUUGGAGACUUCUUUUUGCAUCAGAUGAAUCGUUUGAAAUCUGUGCCAGAUUGUUUGAAAUCUGUGCCAUUUGUAGAUUAUUUUCCUUACAGUGGAAUCCUGUAUUUCAAAUAAUUUUAAAUCCCUUGCCAGACCCAUAGGCAUCCACAACCUUUUUUUCUGAAUGCCUUACAGAACUCUUUAAAUCUUGGCAUGAUGACACCACACACCUCAAUAGCAAAGGGAACACCAGACACUACAGUGCAUCCGGAAAAAGUAUUCACA